GCUUUGUUCUUACUUUGUUUGUGUUACACUGGGAUCCAGUCAUCCAUUGGCACAGAGGCACAGUUUCCACUUUGAUACAAUCUGUGUCAGCCUGGCAGUUAAUUUAUUUAGCAGCAUCUUAAAUUUUUUUUUUCAUAAAAUCCAGCUCCUGCAGGAUAUUUAUCAGCAUCUUUGCAAGACAGGAUGAAUUCAAAAUAAAGUAUAGGAGAAGAAACAUUCAGUGAUCCUCAUGGAACACCUUUCCUGAAGAGAUGAUGAUGGGGCCAUUUGACAUGGGACACAGCAGUUGCUGGAAGAAGCACAUAUUUUUAGUGACAAAGACUGUAACUAUGCUGCCUCCUGGUUAUAAAGCAAAGCCAAACUGGAGAGAAGACCAGUGCCAGAGCCUUUAUUACUAAAAGAUAAUUGCCUUUGAUGAGUUAAGGGCGGAUUUUAAGAGCCCCAUAGACCAGUGCAACCCUGUUCAUGCGAGGGAACGGCUGAGGAACAUCGAGCGCAUCUGCUUCCUUCUGCGAAAGCUGGUGCUGCCAGAAUACUCCAUCCAUAGCCUCUUCUGCAUUAUGUUCCUGUGUGCGCAAGAGUGGCUCACGCUGGGGCUGAAUGUCCCUCUACUUUUCUAUCACUUCUGGAGGUAUUUCCACUGUCCGGCAGAUAGCUCAGAACUAGCCUACGACCCACCGGUGGUCAUGAAUGCCGACACUUUGAGUUACUGUCAGAAGGAGGCCUGGUGUAAGCUGGCCUUCUAUCUCCUCUCCUUCUUCUACUACCUUUACUGCAUGAUCUA
rnacentral:sRNA from 1 species